rnacentral:rRNA from 1 species
ACCAGUACCGUGAGGGAAAGGCGAAAAGAACCCCGGCGAGGGGAGUGAAAAAGAACCUGAAACCGUGUACGUACAAGCAGUGGGAGCACGCUUCGGCGUGUGACUGCGUACCUUUUGUAUAAUGGGUCAGCGACUUAUAUUCUGUAGCAAGGUUAACCGAAUAGGGGAGCCGAAGGGAAACCGAGUCUUAACUGGGCGUUAAGUUGCAGGGUAUAGACCCGAAACCCGGUGAUCUAGCCAUGGGCAGGUUGAAGGUUGGGUAACACUAACUGGAGGACCGAACCGACUAAUGUUGAAAAAUUAGCGGAUGACUUGUGGCUGGGGGUGAAAGGCCAAUCAAACCGGGAGAUAGCUGGUUCUCCCCGAAAGCUAUUUAGGUAGCGCCUCGUGAAUUCAUCUCCGGGGGUAGAGCACUGUUUCGGCAAGGGGGUCAUCCCGACUUACCAACCCGAUGCAAACUGCGAAUACCGGAGAAUGUUAUCACGGGAGACACACGGCGGGUGCUAACGUCCGUCGUGAAGAGGGAAACAACCCAGACCGCCAGCUAAGGUCCCAAAGUCAUGGUUAAGUGGGAAACGAUGUGGGAAGGCCCAGACAGCCAGGAUGUUGGCUUAGAAGCAGCCAUCAUUUAAAGAAAGCGUAAUAGCUCACUGGUCGAGUCGGCCUGCGCGGAAGAUGUAACGGGGCUAAACCAUGCACCGAAGCUGCGGCAGCGACACUAUGUGUUGUUGGGUAGGGGAGCGU